rnacentral:rRNA from 1 species
UACGAAGGGGGCUAGCGUUGCUCGGAAUUACUGGGCGUAAAGGGUGCGUAGGCGGGUCUUUUAAGUCAGGGGUGAAAUCCUGGAGCUCAACUCCAGAACUGCCUUUGAUACUGCAAAUCUCGAGUCCGGAAGAGGUGAGUGGAAUUCCUAGUGUAGAGGUGAAAUUCGUAGAUAUUAGGAAAGAACACCAGUGGCGAAGGCGGCUCACUGGUCCGGUACUGACGCUGAGGUGGCGAAAAGCGUGGGGAGCAAACAGGG